rnacentral:rRNA from 1 species
GACGAACGCUGGCGGCGUGCUUAACACAUGCAAGUCGAACGGAAAGGCCCUGCUUUUGUGGGGUGCUCGAGUGGCGAACGGGUGAGUAACACGUGAGUAACCUGCCCUUGACUUUGGGAUAACUUCAGGAAACUGGGGCUAAUACCGGAUAGGAGCUCCUGCUGCAUGGUGGGGGUUGGAAAGUUUCGGCGGUUGGGGAUGGACUCGCGGCUUAUCAGCUUGUUGGUGGGGUAGUGGCUUACCAAGGCUUUGACGGGUAGCCGGCCUGAGAGGGUGACCGGCCACAUUGGGACUGAGAGACGGCCCAGACGCCUACGGGAGGCAGCAGGGGGGAAUAUUGCACAAUGGGCGGAAGCCUGAUGCAGCAACGCCGCGUGCGGGAUGACGGCCUUCGGGUUGUAAACCGCUUUCGCCUGUGACGAAGCGUGAGUGACGGUAAUGGGUAAAGAAGCACCGGCUAACUACGUG